rnacentral:rRNA from 1 species
GUGCCAGCCGCCGCGGUAAUACGAAGGGUGCAAGCGUUAAUCGGAAUUACUGGGCGUAAAGCGCGCGUAGGUGGUUUGUUAAGUUGAAUGUGAAAGCCCCGGGCUCAACCUGGGAACUGCAUCCAAACUGGCAAGCUAGAGUAUGGCAGAGGGUGGUGGAAUUUCCUGUGUAGCGGUGAAAUGCGUAGAUAUAGGAAGGAACACCAGUGGCGAAGGCGACCACCUGGGCUACUACUGACACUGAGGUGCGAAAGCGUGGGGAGCAAACAGGAUUAGAUACCCUAGUAGUCC